AUUCCCAGUGGCAUGAAGUGCA
rnacentral:miRNA from 1 species